GGAAACCCGCAACUCGUCGAGCUUUAUACAAUGCAUAAAACCCGAGACAUAUGUCGGGAAAAUGAGCAUUACAUGAUAACAGUUGGAGUGGACAUCGACCUUCACCAUCUUCACGCCUUCUCCAUCUUCGGGAUCCUAAUCUAAACCUAAUCUAAUAAACCUAUAACUAGGUAUAUGCAGUGGAAGGAAACAAACAAACAUAUCAAAACAUCAAAGAACAUGACAUUAUUAGUGUUCAAAAAUGGUGACUAAAGUCAUGAAAUCCUUACACCAAAUUCUAAGUGAAAUCCCAAGAUUUAGCAUCAUUAUGUAUUACACCUAAAUCAUCUAUCUAAUGAUCACACACAAAGCAUAUAACAUGACAAACAUUCAAGCCACAUGACCUUGGUCCUCAAUCAACCCAAAACAAUGAAUGAACCAACUAAAGAUCACUUAUUCCAAAACAUGCACCAUUGAAUUCACUCAACAUAUGUAUUUAAGGCAAACGGAGCAAUCAAUGUGUAACCCACAUGGUACCUAAAACCGUUUUGUAGACAAUUGAUAAAGGAUGUCAUUCCAUGAAGGAAGCACAUCAAGAUUCCUAACGCAUGAAUUUCUAAAAAUAUUAAGAACAUGAACAAGUCAAUCAAGAAUAGAUCAUAGUAGCAUGUCACACCGUCAUUCUACAACAUAUUGAAAACAAUUUGGACAAAUCUACUAUCUCAUCUUAAGACUAACAACAAUUAGCCACAGAAAAGACAGUAUUGCAGUUCAAGACAAAUUCCAGAUUUCAAAGCUCGAUUUGAAAAAAGGAAAGGCAGGGCAAAUGAUGACCAAAUCGCAUGUAUAAUAUGUCAAUGGAAAGUUUGAGAAGCCUAUUACAAAUCUCUAGAAGACAUUAAGUCCUAAUAACAUCAUCUUCCAGCUCGUUCCAGUUAAAACAGAAAAUUGCAGUAGGUCAAAACAGCAAAUCAACCUAAAAAACUACUGCAGAAUUGACAGACUUUGUUGGUAUUUUUCGAUGACCGGAUGAUGUCUAUUCAGGGCGUGCGACAUAUCAAAUCGAAACUCUACAAGUGUAUUUUUUGUGUCUA
rnacentral:lncRNA from 1 species